CAUUGGACUUACGUCCAAUGCUGGUUUAGGUCGUCCCUUCGGGACU
rnacentral:sRNA from 1 species